rnacentral:rRNA from 1 species
CCUACGGGUGGCAGCAGUGGGGGAUAUUGCACAAUGGGGGGAACCCUGAUGCAGCGACGCCGCGUGGGUGAAGGAGCGUUUCGGCGCGUAAAGCCCUAUCGGCAGGGAAGAAGGAGGACGGUACCUGACUAAGAAGCCCCGGCUAACUAGGUGCCAGCCGCCGCGGUAAUACGUAGGGGGCAAGCGUUAUCCGGAUUUACUGGGUGUAAAGGGGGCGCAGACGGCAGCGCAAGCCAGGAGUGAAAGCCCGGGGCCCAACCCCGGGACUGCUCUUGGAACUGCGCGGCGGGAGUGCAGGAGGGGCAGGCGGAAUUCCUGGUGUAGCAGUGAAAUGCGUAGAUAUCAGGAGGAACACCGGUGGCGAAGGCGGCCUGCUGGACUGCGACUGACGUUGAGGCCCGAAAGCGUGGGGAGCGAACAGGAUUAGAUACCCGAGUAGUC